GACGAACGCUGGCGGCGUGCCUAACACAUGCAAGUCGAACGGAGUUGCCCUUCGGGACAACUUAGUGGCGAACGGGUGAGUAACGCGUGAGAAACCUGCCUUUCAGUGGGGGACAACAGUUGGAAACGACUGCUAAUACCGCAUAACAUAUUCGGGGGGCAUCCCCUGGAUAUCAAAGCUUAAUGUGCUGAAAGAUGGUCUCGCGUCUGAUUAGCUAGAUGGCGGGGUAACGGCCCACCAUGGCGACGAUCAGUAGCCGGUCUGAGAGGAUGAACGGCCACAUUGGGACUGAGAUACGGCCCAGACUCCUACGGGAGGCAGCAGUGGGGAAUAUUGGGCAAUGGGGGAAACCCUGACCCAGCAACGCCGCGUGAAGGAGAAGG
rnacentral:rRNA from 1 species